rnacentral:rRNA from 1 species
GAUGAACGCUGGCGGCGUGCCUAAUACAUGCAAGUCGAGCGAACAGACGAGGAGCUUGCUCCUCUGACGUUAGCGGCGGACGGGUGAGUAACACGUGGAUAACCUACCUAUAAGACUGGGAUAACUUCGGGAAACCGGAGCUAAUACCGGAUAAUAUAUUGAACCGCAUGGUUCAAUAGUGAAGGACGGUUUUGCUGUCACUUAUAGAUGGAUCCGCGCCGCAUUAGCUAGUUGGUAAGGUAACGGCUUACCAAGGCAACGAUGCGUAGCCGACCUGAGAGGGUGAUCGGCCACACUGGAACUGAGACACGGUCCAGACUCCUACGGGAGGCAGCAGUAGGGAAUCUUCCGCAAUGGGCGAAAGCCUGACGGAGCAACGCCGCGUGAGUGAUGAAGGUCUUCGGAUCGUAAAAUUCUGUUAUUAGGGAAGAACAAAUGUGUAAGUAACUAUGCACGUCUUGACGGUACCUAAUCAGAAAGCCACGGCUAACUACGUG